rfam:TPA: Bos taurus chromosome 25, whole genome shotgun sequence.
GCCCUGGUGGCUCAGAUGGUAAGGAAUCUGCCUGCAGUGCAGGAGACCCAGGUUCAAUCCCUGGGUUGGGACA